rnacentral:tmRNA from 3 species
GGGGAUGUAUUUGGUUUUGACAGAAGUUCUUUAACAUCUAAAAUGGCAAUCACGGGAAGGCACCGUACUCCCGUUAUAUCCGAGUGGUGCAACAUAAAUGCAAAAGAUAGUGAAACAACUUUUGUUAGCAUGCUAAAAGAAGCUUUUGCUUCUAAAAAGCCUAUGCCAGCUUUAGUUUAAUUUCCUUCCCGGCUGCCUAUUUGCGGCCGCGUCUUAGUAAAUGAUUUCUCGUAAUUUAUUAAGGCGGCAUACUUCGAGAAUAGGAAUAGUAUUUUUGUUUGGGGUACUUAUUCCGAAUUUUUCUAAACAGCUUUUAAAGGGCUUUUUGUUUGUCUUUUAUCCUUUUUAAGCUAAUUUAAGACAGAAUAAGAUUGUAGAAGUUUUAGGUGGGAAUUUUUGGACGCGGGUUCGACCCCCGCCAUCUCCACCA